rnacentral:lncRNA from 1 species
ACAAACAAUAUAGGCUAAACAAGGCUCAACGGGGCUAAAACCUACAAAACAAAUGUAUGGAAUGAAGGCUUUUUGGCUAUGGUGGUACUACUAAACAACUUCAUCUUGAAUACGUGUUAUGCAAUUCAAUGAAAUGUUUUGAAUGAAAUUGGCAUGAGUUCUAGCAUUUGGAACUAAAGUGAUGAAACGCCUUCUAAGUAAUAACCAAGCAAAGAAUAGUGAGAUCAUGCAACGACUUUAGAAAACAAGAAUGCACAGAUUUUAACUCUCCAAAUAAAGUUUUAGGCUCAAGUAUCUCAGGGUUGUAGCUUUAGUUUGAGUUUCUUCCUUCAAGCAUGUCACAAAAACUGAUUUUUUUCCUUUUUGAUUACAUGUGAAUUCAUAAGUUAUAACUACAACUAAGCAUAAACCAAGAGUAAAUCAAACUUCCAUCCAUGUUUAUAACUCUCUUCAAUAGUCAUGCAAUUAAAAACCGAAUCCUCAUCAUUGUGUUGGAAGGUACCCUAAGACACAAACAAACACACAAAAACAACUUAAAAACGACUCUUUUUGGGUUUUUUAAAACAAAUUUUCAAAUUUUUAUGGGAUUUUCGGAUUUUUGAAUCAAAACACAUUAAAACACACCAAAACAGCCUAAAAACACCUAAAAACAGCAAGAAACAACAUUGGAAAUUAUGAGUGAGAAAACCCUACGAAUUUGCAUCAAAACACUUUGGUUACCCCCCCCACACUUAAACCAAACAUUGUCCUCAAUGUUUCAAGCAUAGACUCACACAAAAACACAUAAACAAACAAACCAACACUAACAAACUAAACAUGGCAGAAACGAAAGAAACAACAAAGAGAAGGGUUUAGAAACGCAAAUCUGGAAUUGGAGUGCUCUCUAGGUCUUCCUUUGUCAAAUGCAUGGGUUGCCUCCCACGAAGCGCUUGCUUUAACGUCUUCCAGCCGGACGGUACCUCUGUUUAAGCUUGACUAUGUUCCAUGGCAUGGAGGGGUACAUCCUCCAUGACAUGCUCCUUGAAAUACUCAUGCAUUGGGUCUAUGUAUGGCAGUGGAUAAUGAUGGUCCCAGAUUGUGGCAUUGAGCUUCCCAAGGUCAAAGUAAGAACUCCCAUAAUCAUGGAUUCGAUUUGGUACCUGCACCACAGAAGGCAAUAACCUAUUAGUGGAAACGGGAAUUGGAAUUAGAGGAUGAGGCUUACCAAUGCAUGUAGAUGAAGACUCAAAAAGGGCAGCAAAGGUGGUGCUCUCGGCCAGAUUUGGUAUUUUGGGUGUAAUGACAUGUUUCGUAUGCUCCACUCCAAUACCCUCUUCGAUGAUGCAUCUAGGGACAUCCUUCUUGAUUGGUGCGCAUGAAUGUUCCUUCCCCACAUUUUUAAUCACAUCUAUUGCAAAACAAGAACGAACAUCAUUAGGAUUCUUAACAUAUUCAGGAACUUUGAAUUUAAUCAAUUCAUCAACAAACUCCAUUGUUAACUCUCCCUUAGCCACAUCAAUCUUGGUUUGGGCUGUCUUCAUGAAGGGCCUCCCUAAUAGUAUCGGCAAUGGGGUAGAAUAGGGUGAAUCCUCCAUGUCAAGCACAUAAAAGUCCGCUGGAAAAAUCAAAUUACCAACCUGCACCAAAACAUCUUCCAAAACACCCUUUGGGUAUGCAUUAGAACGAUCGGCUAAUUGAAUUAUCACACCAUCAUUUUUAAGCUCACCUAAGUUCAUAGAUGCAUAAAUUGAGUAUGGCAUAACAUUAAUCGAAGCCCCUAAGUCUAACAUGCAUUGUUCAAACUUAGU